AGGAAAAGAAACCAACAGGGAUUGCCCUAGUAACGGCGAGUGAAGCGGCAACAGCUCAAAUUUGAAAUCUGGCUCUCGGGCCCGAGUUGUAAUUUGUAGAGGAUGCUUUUGAUGCGGUGCCUUCCGAGUUCCCUGGAACGGGACGCCAUAGAGGGUGAGAGCCCCGUCUGGUUGGAUGCCAAAUCUCUGUAAAGCUCCUUCAACGAGUCGAGUAGUUUGGGAAUGCUGCUCUAAAUGGGAGGUAUAUGUCUUCUAAAGCUAAAUACCGGCCAGAGACCGAUAGCGCACAAGUAGAGUGAUCGAAAGAUGAAAAGCACUUUGAAAAGAGAGUUAAAAAGUACGUGAAAUUGUUGAAAGGGAAGCGUUUAUGACCAGACUUGGGCUUGUUUAAUCAUCCGGGCUUCUGCCCGGUGCACUUGUUCAGCCCAGGCCAGCAUCAUUUUUCSCCGGGGGAUAAAGGCGGCGGGAAUGUGGCUCUCUUCGGGGAGUGUUAUAGCCCAUCGUGUAAUACCCUGGSGGGGAAUGAGGUUCGCGCAUCUGCAAGGAUGCUGGCGUAAUGGUCAUCAACGACCCGUCUUGA
rnacentral:rRNA from 1 species